UGUGACGACAAAUCUGCUCAAAUUUAUGCGCGCUUCGAUAAAAAUGAUUGGCGUAUCCAACCUGCAGAGUUUUAUCGCUUCCAUGACGCAGAAGUUAACACUUUCGGAUAUUUCUGAUGAGUCGAAAAAUUAUCUUGAUAAAGCAGGAAUUACUACUGCUUGUUUACGAAUUAAAUCGAAGUGGACUGCUGGCGGAAAAUGAGAAAAUUCGACCUAUCCUUGCGCAGCUCGAGAAGCUCUUACUUUGCGACCUUUCGCCAUCAACUAACGAUUCUGUCAAAAACUGACGCGUUGGAUGAGGAGAAGUGGCUUAAUAUGCUUGGCACGUUCGUCAAGGACUGGUUUAGAUAUGAGUCACAUUUUGUUCAUGGUAGAGAUUCUCUUGUUGA
rnacentral:rRNA from 1 species